GGAUUGUGGCUCAGCGGUAGAGCGCUCACCUAGUGCGGGUGCGACCCAGGUUCGAUCCUCAGCACCA
rnacentral:tRNA from 1 species